AGAACGAACGCUGGCGGCAUGCCUAACACAUGCAAGUCGAACGCUCUUGGGAUUUCGGUCUCAAGGGAGUGGCGCACGGGUGAGUAGCGCGUGGGAACCUGCCCUGUUGUGGGGGAUAACCGAGGGAAACUUCGGCUAAUACCGCAUGCGCCCCCGGGAGUGAUCCUGGGGGGAAAGAUUUAUCGCAGCAGGAGGGGCCCGCGUCGGAUUAGGUAGUUGGUGGGGUAACGGCCCACCAAGCCUGUGAUCCGUAGCUGGUCUGAGAGGAUGAUCAGCCACACUGGGACUGAGACACGGCCCAGACUCCUACGGGAGGCAGCAGUGGGGAAUAUUGGACAAUGGGCGCAAGCCUGAUCCAGCAAUGCCGCGUGAGUGAUGAAGGCCUUAGGGUUGUAAAGCUCUUUCGCCCGCGACGAUGAUGACGGUAGCGGGAGAAGAGCCCGGCUAACUCGCGCCAGCAGCCGCGGUAA
rnacentral:rRNA from 1 species